UCAAAAUCAGGCCAGAAAAGGGAAGCAGGAAAGCCGAUAAAAUAGGAUCGAGGUUCAUUUGGAAAAAAGACAAAAAUGGGGGAUAAAAAAAAGACAGGUUCCAUGGGCGAGAGUGCGCAAUGGAAAGUGGAAACCAGGUUGAUAAGUGUGAGUAAAAAUUCAUAGUGAUAGCCUUGGAGCUGACACAUGGGGCAUGACCUGGUUCACUACGCAGCAAAACCUUAUACAGCGGUCACUAUAAAGAAUAAAACUUUGCAGCAAGAGUAGGUGGCUGGAUUCAGAAUGGGGCUGUCGGGGGAUUUCGCCGGCGAAAGAAACUCUUCAAAAAGUCUCAAAACCUUAAAAAAAAAAAAAAAAAAAAAACCCAUAAAAAUUGAAUUUUAAAAAAGAGUCUAAUAAAAUUGAAAAUUAAGGAUAUUAUUUUUGCAGUAAAUUAAAGGGUACCGAGAAGAAGAGGAGGUUUGUGGUUGAUCUAGAAUUGAAUACUAAUUUACUACUACUAAUCGAAUUAACCUUAUUCGUUUUUGAGUUAAUUUGUUAGAGCAGGCUAGUUAAAGGACGAGUAUACGCAAAUAUGGAUUCAGCCUCUAAUUAAGGACGAAUUGCAGAGAUUAUUUUACAAGCUGACAGGAAGGAAAACCAAAGAGCUUGGGCUCCCUAGUCAGUGAUAUAUAUAUCAUCACUUUUGCUAAACAAGGCAAAGGCAAUCAUGAAAAUGUAAAUUCUCCAAAUACAGUUCUAUAAUAUUCUUGUGUUCCUUGUUGAUUUCCUGUUUUAAGUCUUUAGGUUCAUCAGGUCAUUCACAAUUACAUACGUGUCAAAAUUUUCGGUCAAAACAAUAUUAUGUAUUUGCUAUUUCUAAUUUUACACCAUUUUUUCUUAAUGCAUAAUUUCAGGUGUUAAUGUUAAGAACAAAAUUAUAAUUUUGUUGAGAUGAUAUGGAUGAUGAUUAUGAUGUUCA